rnacentral:misc_RNA from 1 species
GUAUUGAUAGCGCGUGAUUGCGCAAAGAACAUUCUACACUAGGGCGUUUGAUGUUAAAAACGUGAGCACCCCCUCCGAGGAAGGGGACCCACGCGGUGAUGCACAAAGGGGUGAAAUGGAUAUUUGUAUGUGAGAGCACUCGGGCGUGCACGACCAUAAAAAAGUCAGCGACAGCCGUCGUACCCCCAUUGUACGAUAAUGAUCCUUCCGCAGGUUCACCUACGGAAA